rnacentral:rRNA from 1 species
UACGGGGGGAGCAAGCGUUGUUCGGAUUUACUGGGCGUAAAGGGCGCGUAGGCGGUCGUGACAAGUCACUUGUGAAAUCUCCGGGCUUAACUCGGAGCGGUCAAGUGAUACUGUCGGACUAGAGUACAGAAGGGGCAACUGGAAUUCUCGGUGUAGCGGUGAAAUGCGUAGAUAUCGAGAGGAACACCUGCGGCGAAGGCGGGUUGCUGGGCUGAUACUGACGCUGAGGCGCGAAAGCCAGGGGAGCGAACGGG